AGAGUUUGAUCCUGGCUCAGAACGAACGCUGGCGGCAGGCUUAACACAUGCAAGUCGAGCGCCCCGCAAGGGGAGCGGCAGACGGGUGAGUAACGCGUGGGGACGUACCCUUUGGUUCGGAACAACUCCGGGAAACUGGAGCUAAUACCGGAUAAGCCCUUCGGGGGAAAGAUUUAUCGCCAAAGGAUCGGCCCCGCGUCUGAUUAGCUGGGUUGGGUGGGGUAACGGCCCACCAAGGCGACGAUCAGUAGCUGGUCUGAGAGGAUGAUCAGCCACACUGGGACUGAGACACGGCCCAGACUCCUACGGGAGGCAGCAGUGGGGAAUAUUGGACAAUGGGCGCAAGCCUGAUCCAGCCAUGCCGCGUGAGUGAUGAAGGCCUUCGGGUUGUAAAGCUCUUUUGGCGGGGACGAUGAUGACGGUACCCGCAGAAUAAGCCCCGGCUAACUUCGUGCCAGCAGCCGCGGUAAGACGAAGGGGGCUAGCGUUGUUCGGAAUUACUGGGCGUAAAGCGAGUGUAGGUGGUUGUCCAAGUUGGAUGUGAAAUCCCCGGGCCUAACCUGGGCAGGUCAGCUAAGACUGUUGGACUCGAGUAUGGGAGAGGGUAGUGGAAUUUCCGGUGUAGCGGUGAAAUGCGUAGAGAUCGGAAGGAACACCAGUGGCGAAGGCGGCUACCUGGCCUAAUACUGACACUGAGGCACGAAAGCGUGGGGAGCAAACAGGAUUAGAUACCCCUGGUAGUCCACGCUGUAAACGAUGUCAACUUAACUGUUGGGGUAUAUGAAUGUACUUAGUGGCGCAGCAAACGCGAUAAGUUGACCCCUGGGGGAGUACGGUCGCAAGAUUAAAAUCUCA
rnacentral:rRNA from 1 species